rnacentral:lncRNA from 1 species
AUGAGCUGUCAAAAUCAGACCCUAACAGGACACCGUGCCCUAAGACACAAACAGGACACCAUGCCCUCAGACCCUAACAGGACACCGUGCCCUCAGACCCUAACAGGACACCGUGCCCUCAGACCCUAACAGGACACUGUGCCCUAAGACACAAACAGGACACCGUGCCCUCAGACCCUAACAGGACACCGUGCCCUCAGACCGUAACAGGACACCGUGCCCUCAGACCGUAACAGGACACCGUGCCCUAAGACACAAACAGGACACCGUGCCCUCAGACCCUAACAGGACACUGUGCCCUCAGACCCUAACAGGACACCGUGCCCUCAGACCGUAAUAUGACACUGUGCCCUCAGACCGUAACAGGACAUCGUGCCCUCAGACCCUAACAGGACACCGUGCCCUCAGACCCUAACAGGACACCGUGCCCUCAGACCCUAACAGGACACCGUGCCCUCAGACACAAACAGGACACCGUGCCCUCAGACCCUAACAGGACACCAUGCCCUCAGACCGCAACAGGACACCGUGCCCUCAGACCCUAACAGGACACCGUGCCCUCAGACCCUAACAGGACACCGUGCCCUCAGACCCUAACAGGACACCGUGCCCUCAGACCGUAACAGGACACCGUGCCCUCAGACCCUAACAGGACACCGUGCCCUCAGACCCUAACAGGACACGUGCCCCUCAGACCCUAACAGGACACCGUGCCCUCAGACCGUAACAGGACACCGUGCCCUCAGACCCUAACAGGACACCGUGCCCUCAGACCCUAACAGGACACCGUGCCCUCAGACCCUAACAGGACACCGUGCCCUAAGACACAAACAGGACACCGUGCCCUCAGACCCAAACAGGACACCGUGCCCUCAGACCCUAACAGGACACCGUGCCCUCAGACCCUGACAGGACACCGUGCCCUCAGACCGUAACAGGACACCGUGCCCUCAGACCCUAACAGGACACCGUGCCCUCAGACCCUAACAGGACACCGUGCCCUAAGACACGAACAGGACACCGUGCCCUCAGACCCUAGCAGGACACCGUGCCCUCAGACCCUAACAGCACACCGUGCCCUCAGACCCUAACAGGACACCGUGCCCUCAGACCGUAACAGGACACCGUGCCCUCAGACCGUAACAGGACACCGUGCCCUCAGACCCUAACAGGACAACGUGCCCUAAGACACAAACAGGACACCAUGCCCAACGAGCCCCUCCCAGGCGGGCUCCCGGGACGCCCGCUGAUGAGCCCGUUUGGGAAAUCUGCCCAAGGGAAUUGGAGAUAAUGACCUUGCUUGCAAACAAACAAAGGUAAUGUCAGGAAAUAAGGCUAAUUGGUAUUUUUAAACAUUGAUUAAAAUUUGAAAAGAAAAAAACAGACAGAGAAUCUACAGAUAAAAUACGAACAAAGCAGGUAUUGCCC